GGCCGGUGCGCAGACUCAAUUGCGACUUUGAGGCUGUCAGCCGCCACCCGGCAACCUUCCAGUGAACAGGAUUCUGGGUUUCUCAAAGCUGUAAUUGGAGGUAUGAUGGCGACGCCCACUUGACUCCUACCUGGGGCGGCCAUGUUUAAAACUGUGCCGUAAAACGGAUGAUUAAGCCCUUUGCUAGACCAAAAGAUAAGGCUAUUUUAGGACAAGGAGAAGGAAGUGUCCCUGGAUCCCUAAACAGAGAUGUCGUCUCUGCUCUUAACUCAGCAUCUCAGAUGCCAAAACCUCCUGUGGCCAACAUGGUGGCGCCCAGACAUCAAAGCUGAGCUUUCUUUGUCUCCGGCAGCCUGGGCCACUCCAGAGGUGUUAAAGCUCCAGCACUUCGAGCCUGCCUCGUGGGAAAGUCUUAGGCUGAGUCUGUAGGUGUCUGCAGUUAAGAAGCCAGCGGUCUGCAUAUGAUUGCUCAGGGGUGGUGGCUGGGUCCAACAGCAUUCACUACAGGCCUGCCUUGAAUACCACCUAGCGCAGUGCUCCGCAUAUCACAGGUAUGGGAAGCUUUGGAUUCAUAAGCUCAGUAAAUUAAGGAAUUUCACAUUAUGAACUCAAUUUGAGAUGGGUUGGACUGGUGAUACCUGGAAGGGGUAAAUGAGAACCCACUCUGGAGGCACUUUACGCCUGAGGGAGCAUCCACAAAUAAUUUUUCAGGGGCUGGAAACCUAACAAUUUCACUUCCUAGACAACUUGCUAAAAGUCACCUAAAGACAGUCUGGUUACUGCCAAAGAUAUGCUUUCAAAUAAGAUUUGGAUAAAGAAGGGAGGUAGAUGCCUUUUUUCAGCAGUGGAGUGAUGUCUAGACCAGUAGAUGUACGCAUCUAAGUGAAUUCAUCACCAGCAACAAUUUCCAGAAACUUCCUGACCUCCAGAUUGCAGCUUCAUUAGUGUGAGUUUAAAGCCAACUAGAUGCCAUUCUCAGAUUCCACGCAUAUGGCCAAGGGUCCAGGAAAUAAGAAGAAACAGGUUGAGGGGUUGGUGUUAUGGGGCAUUUACUUGAAUUUUCUAUGCUAUAAUUGUCUCAUCUUUAAAACGGUGAUAAUAAUAAAAUUGUCA
rnacentral:lncRNA from 1 species